CAAAAAGGUGAUAUUUUUUUUUUUUUUACAAUUAUUCACUUUAAAACCACGAGAAAUUAGAAUUUGUCACGAUUUAACCCAUUGAAAACGGUUUAUGAUUUAUGAUUUGCGUAAAAUACACAGGGUACUUGUUAAAUGCUUCGUCGAGUUCACCAGCAUCGACCGUAAAGACAAGUUAUUAAUGGCCGGUGGCAAUUUUUAAAAUAGCCUAAAUAUGUAAAAGUAAACCGACCAACAGUGAGAACACUAGUGUUGGCCACCUCACAGAACAAGUACUGGUGUUCCAUCCGGAGUUACAUGACCUAUCCAGUGUUAAGGAUGUGUAAUUCAAAUAUAUAAAAAGAAGCAACACGAGAUAAAACCUUUUUUUGAAAGAGGGCUUUUAUAAAUAAAAAAGAAAUGGAGAUGAUCAUGACCUAGGUUCCAGUGUCUUAUUAAUCACAUGUUAAUUAAAACAUUUUGAUAUAACAGAUAAAAUUUGCGUAAACCGUAUUGAUCAUGUUUCAAAUAUCUAAAUCUUGUGUUAUUGUAUAUAUUAUUAAUUAAUAGAAAAAAAUGUGUACGUAGA